GUUGGGGCAGGUCCUGGGUAGAGUCCAGGUUGGCGGGUCCUGGGGCGGAGUCAGGAUAGGGCGAUCCUGGAAGCUGGGCUUCAGAAGCGUCCAGUACCUCCGCCUUCAGGAAGGUCUUUUUAGCAGGGGCCUUACAGGUGCACGCUUCGGUCCUGGAGGCCUUAUCCUAACCUCUCCAUCAGCGCCACCCGUCUGGGGCCCGAAAGGAGGGAGCUUUCCCUCUGUCCUCCAGCCUUUGGACUGUCUCCAAACAAGCCAUUCGUUCACCAAAUACUUAUUAAGCACCUACCAUGUGCCUGACAAGGGAGAUGUAACGUCCCUCUAUCCUGAGAUGGAGUCACCUGAGGAUCCACAGCAAGUCCUAACCAGGGAUGGGUCUGGGUGAUUAAGGAAGGUUGGCUUCAGAACUGGGCCAGGGGCACUGCUUUGCUUUUGCUGUUUUGAUCAGCUCUCUGCCUGCAGGAGACAAGGAAAACCAAUGGGAACAGCCCAGUAAAGGCUCCAUUCCCCAUUUUACAGCUGGGGAAACUGAGUUACAGAGCUUUUCUGCACUGAGUCAUCAGGAGCAAAUGCUAGAUCAGGGUCUCUCUCUCUGCCACCCAGGCCAGAGUGCAGUUGACGCAGGGCAGGGGAGCCCCGAAGUGGAGCAUAGUGUGUCCGGAACUGGUGGGUUCUUGGUCUCACUGACUUCAAGAAUGAAGCCGUGGACCCUCACGGUUCAAGCGAUUCUCCUGCCUCAGCCUCCAGAGUAGCUGGAACUACAGAUGCGCACCACCACGCCCAGGCUGUGCUUCUCAGUGGCUCCCACCAGAUACCUGAUGGUCCUGUCGAUUUGCUGAAUCAUCAACUUCCUAUUCUCUGCCUCUGGCCUGAAUCGAUGUCCCACGUUAUCUGGCUCUCUGUAACACAGAGUCACAAAGUCAAAGUCUUCCUUGGUGAACCAGUUCAUGACAGUAUCGAUGUUCGCACUCCGCUCUGUCUCGUUGCUGUUUGGAGAUGAGGUCUCGCUAAUUUGCCCAGGCUGGUCCUGAACUCCUGGGUUCAACUAAUUCUCCUGCCUCAGCCUCUCAAAGUGCUGGGAUUACAGGCAUGAGACACCACGCCAGGCUGGUGAGACAGGGUUUCACCAUGUUGGCCAGGCUUGUCUUGAACUCCUGACGUCGUGAUCUGCCUGCUUUGGCCUCCCAAAGUCCUGGGAUUACAGGCAUGAGCCACCGUACCCAGCCACUCUUGAUUAACUUAAUGGAAAUAUUUACAGAGAUUCUUUCUCUUCUGGGUUCUAGCGUCUUAUCUGUAACCUCUGCAGGGGAGUCACUGAGCAGAACGAAGCGAGUUGCCUGAGAUUCUUCAAAGCCCCAGCCCUUUUGGAGGUUACAUUGUUAUUCUCAGAGCCUUUAUGAUGCAUAAUAAAGACCUAGCUUGUACCAA
ensembl:lncRNA LINC02018 long intergenic non-protein coding RNA 2018